UACGGGGGGAGCAAGCGUUGUUCGGAUUUACUGGGCGUAAAGGGCGCGUAGGCGGCCUCCGCAAGUCAGUUGUGAAAUCUCCGAGCUUAACUCGGAAAGGUCAACUGAUACUGCGGGGCUAGAGUGUGGAAGAGGCAACUAGAAUUCCGUGUGUAGCGGUGAAAUGCGUAGAUAUACGGAGGAAUACCUGAGGCGAAGGCGGGUUGCUGGGCCAACACUGACGCUGAGGCGCGAAAGCCAGGGGAGCAAACGGG
rnacentral:rRNA from 1 species